CUAGGCACGGAGAACGGUAGCAAGUAGGUUGGCGUCUCCAGCAGAGUGGGAGGCGUCCGUCAGAAAGAUGAGGAUGACACGUCUCCUGCAGUGUGGCGAGGAGUGUGCUUGGUUGGCUUCAAGAGCGACCACAACCCACAUAUACCACAGUAGUGUGUAAGAACGUCCGUGCUAACCAAAGGACCAUGGAUCAAGAUGGCACAAAGUAAGUAUGUAACUCCAUAAGCUGUUGUUAGAUUUCACUUCAUCUAUUGGUAUAGGGCUGCUUUUAUGGAUGGAAUAAAUUGGUUUAGUCUUAGACUUAAAGUAAUGAAGGGUUUAAUUUUGGAAGUAUCACCAGGGAGACGUUGCACCAGACAUUUUUUUUGUACGCUACACGUUUCCAUUUGCUUAUCUAAUGAUUGAUUGAGUUCUCUAAAAUUCAUUAGGUCGAUUUUUCAGCUUUUAUUUUUAUUUUAUAAUAAUAUUGACUCAUUCUAUGACUACAAGAAAUAAAAAUAUCCCUGUAACUA